rnacentral:sRNA from 1 species
UGUGAAACCUCUUAGGUAGCAUUGUGUGUGCUGUGUGGUUUUUCUGAGGGGAUCCAUAGGAAAAUAAGGGCAGGGUUUUAAACGUUAAUGAUGGGCAAUGAGGUAAUGUAAGUUAUGGGGUUAAAUUUUUAUUUCCCUUUUUUUCUGUAGAGAAUAGUGACAGUGGUACAGGAAAGAAAGAAAAAGAAAAGAAAAACAGAAAGGGCAAAGACAAGGAAAAUGGCUCCGUAUCCAGCAGUGAGACACCACCACCACCACCACCAAAUGAAAUUAAUCCUCCUCCACAUACAAUGGAAGAAGAGGAGGAUGAUGACUGGGGAGAAGAUACAACUGAGGAAGCUCAAAGGCGUCGAAUGGAUGAAAUCAGUGACCAUGCAAAAGUC